CCUAGAGUGAUGAUGAUGGCUUGGGGAGAGAGAUUGACAAAGAAGUUCCUGGUGAUUCUGGUGCAUAGGUGUCUACAAGUAGCAGCUGCCAUUGAAUUCUACCUGAGGUGGACCAGAAAGGAAGAGACAGCCACUGUUGUUGACUUGAAUCCUGACUUGAAUGGAUGGUGAACAAGAAUGUUAGAGGCCUGCAGAGGUGACCAGAUCUUAGAGCAGAAACAGAGUGAAAGGAGGGACUGAAAAUGAAGACUGACAGCUGUUGAAGAUCCAUCCCAUUAGGGCAGAACCAAGAAUGACGGUUGAAAGUUGCAAAGAAGCAAAUAUGGUCUUGCCUUCAGAAAAACAAAAACAAACAAACCUUCC